AAACUAUCAAACCAGUGGAGGACAAGGAAUUCUCAAUGGUUAUCCAUAUUUCUUUCUUUCCUUUUUUUUUUUUUUUUUUUUUGAGACAAAGUUUUGUUCUAUUGCCCAGGAUAGAGUGCAAUGGCGCGAUCUCGGCUCACUGCAACCUCCACCUCCUGGGUUCAAUUGAUUCUUCUGCCUCAGCCUCCCAAGUAUGUAGGAUUACAGGUGGCUGCCACCAUGCCUUCCUGACAAUAUGACUUGUUGUAAUGUUUACUUUGUCUAAUCUCAACAUAGCCACUAAAACUUUAUUUUGAUUAGAAUUUGCAUAGUAUAUCUGAUUUCUGUCUUUUACUUUUAACCUAUCUAUAUCUUUAUAUUUAAAGUGGAUUUAUUAUAGACAAUACAUAAAUGAGUUUUGCUGUUCUAUCAAAUCUAUCAAUCUUUACUUUUAAUUAGGGUGUUUACCCGAUGAAUGUUUAAGGCAAUUUGUAUCAUCCGAUUUACAUUUGCCACCUUGCUAGUUGUUUUCUACUGUCUAAUCUUUUAUUUUGUUUCCUUGUUCAUGUUGCUUUCUUUCACUGGGAAUUACAUCCUUUUCACCUCCUCUCUGCUAAAGCAGAGACAUCCAUUACGAUGAGUAGCUUCAACACUUGUCAGAUCGAAUCA
rnacentral:lncRNA from 10 species